rnacentral:rRNA from 1 species
UUCCUUUAGAAUAAAUUAAAGGUAAGACCUGCCCGGUGAAUUAUUGGUUAAAUGGACGCCUUGGCGUUAAAGUAGCAUAAUUAUUUGUCUUUUAAUUGUUGACUUGUUUGAAUGGUUUUAUGAGAGUAUAAAUUUCUUCUUUGUCAAAAAGAAGUUAUAUUUCCGGGUUAAAAUACCGGGUUAAUAAAGAAAGAAGAGAAGACCCUGAUGAGUUUAACGCGGAAUAUUUUGCUAACGCGUUUAUAUGGGGUAUGAGAUCUUCUUUUAUUUAAUUUUUUUAGAUCCUGUUUAUAUGGAAAGAGAUUUAAAUUACCACAGGGAUAACAGGACAAAGUUUAUUGAGAGUACUUAUCGAAAUAGAAAAUUGUUACUUCGAUGUUGAAUCAAGGAUUUUACUUAUGGGUGCAGAAGUUCAUUAAGUGGGUCUGUUCGACCCUUAAAUCCUUACG